GGUUCGAUCAUGGCUCAGAUUGAACGCUGGCAGGAUGCUUACACAUGCAAGUGGAGCGGCCAGCACGGACUUCGGUCUGGUGGCGAGUGGCGAACGGGUGAGUAAUGUAUCGGAACGUGCCUAGUAGCGGGGGAUAACUACGCGAAAGCGUGCUAAUACCGCAUACGCCCUUCGAAGGAAAGCGGGGGACCUUCGGGCCUCACUAUUAAAACGGCCGAUAUCGGAUUAGCUAGUUGGUGGGAGAGUAACGGCUCACCAAGGCGACGAUCCGUAGCUGGUUUGAGGAGGACGACCAGCCACACUGGGACUGAGACACGGCCCAGACUCCUACGGGAGGCGGCAGUGGGGAAUUUUGGACAAUGGGGAAGCCUGAUCCAGCCAUCCCGCGUGUGCGAUGAAGGCACUUCGGGUUGUAAAGCACUUUUGGCAGGAAAGAAACGGCGGGAUAAUACCCCGUGCAACUGACAGUACCUGCAGAAUAAGCACCGGCUAACUACGUGCCAGCAACCCCCGCCCCGGUAAUACGUAAGUGCAAGCGUUAAUCGGAAUUACUGGGCGUAAAGCGUGCGCAGGCGGUUCGGAAAGAAGAUGUGAAAUCCCAGAGCUUAACUUUGGAACUGCAUUUUUAACGAAGAACUGAGUUGACGUCGAAGAGGAGGUGGAAGUUCGUGUGUCAGUGAAAUGCGUGGUAGAUGCUGGAGGAACACAGUGGUGAAGCAGCCUCUGGAUCUUACUGACAUCCCAAUGCACGAAGCCGUGGUGGGAUGCAAGCCCAGGAUUAGAUACCCUGGUAGUCCACGCCCUAAACGAUGUCAACUAGCUGUUGGGGCCUUCGGGCCUUGGUAGCGCAACUAACGUAGAAGUGAAGUUGACCGCCUGGGGUACGGUCGCAAGAUUAAAACUCAAAGGAAUUGACGGGGACCCGCACAAGCGGUGGAUGAUGUGGAUUAAUUCGAUGCAACGCGAAAAACCUUACCUACCCUUGACAUGUCUGGAAUCCCGAAGAGAUUUGGGAGUGCUCGCAAGAGAACCGGAACACAGGUGCUGCAUGGCUGUCGCCAGCUCGUGUCGUGAGAUGUUGGGUUAAGUCCGCAACGAGCGCAACCCUUGUCGUGGAUUGCUACGAAAGGGCACUCUAAUGAGACUGCCGGUGACAAACCGGAGGAAGGUGGGGAUGACGUCAAGUCCUCAUGGCCCUUAUGGGUAGGGCUUCACACGUCAUACAAUGGUCGGGACAGAGGGUCGCCAACCCGCGAGAGGGAGCCAAUCCCAGAAACCCGAUCGUAGUCCGGAUCGCAGUCUGCAACUCGACUGCGUGAAGUCAGAAUCGCUAGUAAUCGCGGAUCAGCAUGUCGCGGUGAAUACGUUCCCGGGUCUUGUACACACCGCCCGUCACACCAUGGGAGUGGGUUUUACCAGAAGUAGUUAGCCUAACUUAAUGAAAAAGGAGGGCGAUUACCACGGUAGGAUUCAUGACUGGGGUGAAGUCGUAGCGCAAGGUAA
rnacentral:rRNA from 1 species